rnacentral:rRNA from 1 species
CGAGCGAACUGAUUAGAAGCUUGCUUCUAUGACGUUAGCGGCGGACGGGUGAGUAACACGUGGGCAACCUGCCUGUAAGACUGGGAUAACUUCGGGAAACCGAAGCUAAUACCGGAUAGGAUCUUCUCCUUCAUGGGAGAUGAUUGAAAGAUGGUUUCGGCUAUCACUUACAGAUGGGCCCGCGGUGCAUUAGCUAGUUGGUGAGGUAACGGCUCACCAAGGCAACGAUGCAUAGCCGACCUGAGAGGGUGAUCGGCCACACUGGGACUGAGACACGGCCCAGACUCCUACGGGAGGCAGCAGUAGGGAAUCUUCCGCAAUGGACGAAAGUCUGACGGAGCAACGCCGCGUGAGUGAUGAAGGCUUUCGGGUCGUAAAACUCUGUUGUUAGGGAAGAACAAGUACAAGAGUAACUGCUCGUACCUUGACGGUACCUAACCAGAAAGCCACGGCUAACUACGNGCCAGCAGCCGCGGUAAUACGUAGGUGGCAAGCGUUAUCCGGAAUUAUUGGGCGUAAAGCGCGCGCAGGCGGUUUCUUAAGUCUGAUGUGAAAGCCCACGGCUCA